UACGAAGGGUGCAAGCGUUACUCGGAAUUACUGGGCGUAAAGCGUGCGUAGGUGGUGAGUUAAGUCUGUCGUGAAAGCCCCGGGCUCAACCUGGGAAUGGCGAUGGAUACUGGCUCGCUAGAGUGCGGUAGAGGAGAGUGGAAUUCCCGGUGUAGCAGUGAAAUGCGUAGAGAUCGGGAGGAACAUCAGUUGCGAAGGCAGCUUACUACACAGUCAUUGACACUGAGGCACGAAAGCGUGGGGAUCAAACAGG
rnacentral:rRNA from 1 species